UCGGGAAUAUUGCGCAAUGGAGGAAACUCUGACGCAGUGACGCCGCGUGCAGGAAGAAGGUUUUCGGAUUGUAAACUGCUUUAGACAGGGAAGAAACAAGACAGUACCUGUAGAAUAAGCUCCGGCUAACUACGUGCCAGCAGCCGCGGUAAUACGUAGGGAGCAAGCGUUAUCCGGAUUUAUUGGGUGUAAAGGGUGCGUAGACGGGAAAUUAAGUUAGUUGUGAAAUCCCUCGGCUUAACUGAGGAACUGCAACUAAAACUGAUUUUCUUGAGUGUUGGAGAGGAAAGUGGAAUUCCUAGUGUAGCGGUGAAAUGCGUAGAUAUUAGGAGGAACACCAGUGGCGAAGGCGACUUUCUGGACAAUAACUGACGUUGAGGCACGAAAGUGUGGGGGAGCAAACAGGAUUAGAUACC
rnacentral:rRNA from 1 species